AUACUUACCUUCUUGCGACUCACUGAGCUCAAGCAUUCAGUGGUCUGACAACGUCGCCUCCAUUGCACAGCGGGGUGUGGUGUUGUCAUGAAUCUCCUUCGGGGGCUUCAGCGGGGCAAUUUUUGCUGGUCUGCCACUGUGGCACC
rnacentral:snRNA from 1 species